UAGAUAGAUAGGACAUUGGUCAGUGUUUCCUGAACAGGUUGCCCCCAGCUGUUGCAAAACUUCAACUCCCAGCAUGCUGAGAGUUGUAGUUUUGCUACUGCUGGAGGCACCUGUUCAGGAAACACUGACAUAGGCGAUGUGCCGGGAUGGCUGCUGAUAGAUAUCAGCAGUAGUCCCAUUCCAAUAACCGCCCAGUGAAUGGUGGUUAUCGCAAAUACGGAGGGCAGGUACGCCCUCCGUCCUUAAGUACCGGGAUGACAGGGCAUACCUGUACGCCCUCCGUCCCCAACAGGUAAAUAUUCUGUCUUGUAAAAUGUUAGAUAAUGGAAGCCUGACAGAUCCCAUUAAAACUAACAAUAUAAAAUCAUACAGUGGCCUUGCCAGCUUUCUUUGUUAAUCUUCCCUUAUGACAUCACACAUGUGACUUCAUCAAGUGUUUGGAGCUAUCUGUACCAGCCACUAGUACAGUUCAGGCCUUAGCUAUCAGAGGGAGCGCACACAAAGAGCAGGAGAUGAAGAAGAGGACAAGAUGACAAAGGAGAGGGGACUAAUGCCCGAUGAGAAGGUGAACGUGACAUAUACCCUCGUCAGCUACAAGAAAGGACAGGUGACUGAUGCCCGAUGAGAAGGUGAAUGUGACAUAUACCUUCGUCAGCUUCAAGAAAGGAACCACGAGAAAGGUAAUUCAU